CCUACGGGGGGCAGCAGUGGGGAAUAUUGCACAAUGGGGGGAACCCUGAUGCAGCGACGCCGCGUGGGUGAAGGAGUAUUUCGGUAUGUAAAGCCCUAUCAGCAGGGAAGAACAAUGACGGUACCGGACGAAGAAGCACCGGCUAAAUACGUGCCAGCAGCCGCGGUAAUACGUAUGGUGCAAGCGUUAUCCGGAUUUACUGGGUGUAAGGGGAGCGCAGGCGGCGCGUUAAGCCUGGUGUGAAAGUCCGCGGCCCAACCGCGGGACUGCAUUGGGAACUGGCGCGCUGGAGUGCCGGAGGGGUAGGCGGAAUUCCUAGUGUAGCGGUGAAAUGCGUAGAUAUUAGGAGGAACCCCAGUGGCGAAGGCGGCCUACUGGACGGUGACUGACGCUGAGGCUCGAAAGCGUGGGGAGCAAACAGGAUUAGAUACCCCAGUAGUC
rnacentral:rRNA from 1 species